UGGGGAAUUUUGGACAAUGGGGGGCAACCCUGAUCCAGCCAUGCCGCGUGCAGGAUGAAGGUCUUCGGAUUGUAAACUGCUUUUGUCAGGGACGAAAAGGACUGUGUUAAUACCACGGUCUGCUGACGGUACCUGAAGAAUAAGCACCGGCUAACUACGUGCCAGCAGCCGCGGUAAUACGUAGGGUGCAAGCGUUAAUCGGAAUUACUGGGCGUAAAGCGUGCGCAGGCGGUUCUGUAAGACAGAUGUGAAAUCCCCGGGCUUAACCUGGGAAUUGCAUUUGUGACUGCAGGACUAGAGUUCAUCAGAGGGGGGUGAAUUCCAAGUGUAGCAGUGAAAUGCGUAGAUAUUUGGAAGAACACCAAUGGCGAAGGCAGCCCCCUGGGAUGCGACUG
rnacentral:rRNA from 1 species